UAGGGAAUCUUCGGCAAUGGGGGGAACCCUGACCGAGCAACGCCGCGUGAGUGAAGAAGGUUUUCGGAUCGUAAAGCUCUGUUGUUAAGGAAGAACGAGUGUGAGAAUGGAAAGUUCAUGCUGUGACGGUACUUAACCAGAAAGUGACUGCUAACUACGUGCCAGCAGCCGCGGUAAUACGUAGGUCCCGAGCGUUGUCCGGCAUUAUUGGGCGUAAAGCGAGCGCAGGCGGUUAGAAAAGUCUGAAGUGAAAGGCAGGGGCUCAAACAGUGUAGGAUUUGGAAAAUGUAUAACUUGAGUGCAGAAGGGGGGAGGGGAAUUCCAUGUGUAGCGGGGAAAUGCAGAGAUAUAUGGAGGAACAACGGUGGCGAAAGCGGCUCUCUGGUCUGUAACUGACGAUGAGGUUCGAAAGCGUGGGUAGCAAACAGG
rnacentral:rRNA from 1 species